rnacentral:rRNA from 1 species
GAUGAACGCUAGCUACAGGCUUAACACAUGCAAGUCGAGGGGAAACGGCAUUAAGUGCUUGCACUUUUUGGACGCCGACCGGCGCACGGGUGAGUAACGCGUAUCCAACCUUCCCAUGACUAAGGGAUAACCUGCCGAAAGGCAGACUAAUACCUUAUGGUCUUCACUGACGGCAUCAGAUGUGAAGUAAAGAUUUAUCGGUUAUGGAUGGGGAUGCGUCUGAUUAGUUAGUUGGCGGGGUAACGGCCCACCAAGGCAACGAUCAGUAGGGGUUCUGAGAGGAAGGUCCCCCACAUUGGAACUGAGACACGGUCCAAACUCCUACGGGAGGCAGCAGUGAGGAAUAUUGGUCAAUGGGCGAGAGCCUGAACCAGCCAAGUAGCGUGCAGGAUGACGGCCCUAUGGGUUGUAAACUGCUUUUGUAUGGGGAUAAAGUCAAUCACGUGUGAUUGUUUGCAGGUACCAUACGAAUAAGGACCGGCUAAUUCCGUGCCAGCAGCCGCGGUAAUACGGAAGGUCCGGGCGUUAUCCGGAUUUAUUGGGUUUAAAGGGAGCGUAGGCUGGAGAUUAAGUGUGUUGUGAAAUGUAGACGCUCAACGUCUGACUUGCAGCGCAUACUGGUUUCCUUGAGUACGCACAACGUUGGCGGAAUUCGUCGUGUAGCGGUGAAAUGCUUAGAUAUGACGAAGAACUCCGAUUGCGAAGGCAGCUGACGGGAGCGCAACUGACGCUGAAGCUCGAAGGUGCGGGUAUCGAACAGG